CCACAACAUGGGGCCCCAACGGUCAGAGGUGCAGCUCAAGAAAGUUUGGGAGCGACUGAAAGUCAAGGCGAAGAAAAGCAAGGCUGACUUGAAACGGUAGGUGUUCAAAACUGGUGGUGGCGCGCCUCCACCAGACAUGACCUCAGAUUGUGAGCAAGUGCUCACACUCCUCGGGGAUGACAUUAAUGACAUCGGCAACCCCUAUGAUGAUGAUGCCUUGCCAUCUCAGCCAAAGUCGAACCACCAUGGUCGACUCAUCCGAUUUUCAAGGUCUCUUGUGAGAG